ACAGAAUUCAUUCCAGAAAUAGAAUUUGGAAGAUACAUCACUAGAACAAAGUGUCUCCUUAGAUCCGCUUCACUUGAAGAGAAUAACAAAUAGGGAAAGAGUUAGGUAUCUUAAGAAGCAGUGACAAGGUACAUUGUUCUGAGCUCCCAGUGGCAAUCAGAAGUCACCGUGAAACGUAAGGGAACUGAAGACAACAACUGCUUCAGUCUGUGUGUAUACACAUGUGAACCUUUAAGGAAGUUUUUCAAGAAGAGAUGACAACACUGAAGUCAAUUUCCCGAUGAAAUCUUCCUGGGAACACUAGUUUGUCCUUUAUAUAUAAAGAAGAAGAAGAGCGAGGGGAAAGGAACAACCAUACAGAGUAAUUAUAUUCAACACAAUAUUGAAUUGUAAUAAA
rnacentral:lncRNA from 1 species